rnacentral:rRNA from 1 species
UACGUAGGGUGCGAGCGUUAAUCGGAAUUACUGGGCGUAAAGCGUGCGCAGGCGGUUGGUUAAGUCUGAUGUGAAAGCCCGGGGCUCAACCCCGGGAGGCGGAUGGAUACUGCUUGGCUCGAGUCCGGAAGAGGCGAGUGGAAUUCCCGGUGUAGCGGUGAAAUGCGCAGAUAUCGGGAGGAACACCAGUGGCGAAGGCGGCUUUCUGGGCCUAUCCUGACGCUGAGGAGCGAAAGCGUGGGGAGCAAACCGG